UACGGGGGGUGCAAGCGUUACUCGGAAUCAUUGGGCGUAAAGGGCGCGUAGGCGGCCUGGUAAGUCAGGUGUGAAAGCCCGGGGCUCAACCCCGGAAGUGCAUUUGAAACUGUCAGGCUUGAGUAUGGGAGAGGGAAGUGGAAUUCCUGGUGUAGAGGUGAAAUUCGUAGAUAUCAGGAGGAACACCGGUGGCGAAGGCGACUUCCUGGACCAAUACUGACGCUGAGGCGCGAAGGCGUGGGGAGCAAACAGG
rnacentral:rRNA from 1 species